rnacentral:rRNA from 1 species
GAUUAACGCUGGCGGCGUGCAUAACACAUGCAAGUCGAACGAAGUGGCGGACGGGUGAGUAACGCGUGAGUAACCUGCCUUAGAGAAGGGGAUAGCCUUUGGAAACGAAGAAUAAUACCCUAUGCUCUAAGAUGGACUUGCGUCUGAUUAGUUAGUUGGUGGGGUAACGGCCCCCCAAGACAGCGAUAAGUAGCCGGCUUGAGAGAGUGUACGGCCCCAUUGGGACUGAGACACGGCCCAGACUCGAGCGGAGGCAGCAGUGGGGAAUUUUGCACCAUGGGGGAAACCCUGAUGCAGCGACGCCGCGUGAUUUAGAAGGCCGUUGGGUUGUAAAAAUCUUUUCUAUGGGAAGCAGUACCAUAGGAAUAAGGACCGGCUAAUUACGUGCCAGCCGCCGCGGUAAUUC